rnacentral:rRNA from 1 species
AUUGAACGCUGGCGGCAUGCUUUACACAUGCAAGUCGAACGGCAGCGCGGGCUUCGGCCUGGCGGCGAGUGGCGAACGGGUGAGUAAUGCAUCGGAACGUGCCCAGUAGUGGGGGAUAGCCCGGCGAAAGCCGGAUUAAUACCGCAUACGACCUGAGGGUGAAAGCGGGGGACCGAAAGGCCUCGCGCUAUUUGAGCGGCCGAUGUCGGAUUAGCUAGUUGGUGGGGUAAAGGCUUACCAAGGCGACGAUCCGUAGCUGGUCUGAGAGGACGACCAGCCACACUGGGACUGAGACACGGCCCAGACUCCUACGGGAGGCAGCAGUGGGGAAUUUUGGACAAUGGGGGAAACCCUGAUCCAGCCAUGCCGCGUGCGGGAAGAAGGCCUUCGGGUUGUAAACCGCUUUUGUUCGGGAAGAAAUCCUCUGGGCUAAUACCCCGGGGGGAUGACGGUACCGGAAGAAUAAGCACCGGCUAACUACGUG